AGUCACGUGAAGAGCAAUCGCUAUGAUCACGGACGUCCCACGUGAGGAAGGACACGGUACACAUCGUAACGCUCAGUGCUGCACAAUUUGAGGGGCAAGUAAACAGCGCUACACACCGCCAGAGGCUAGUCAGGCCCGCUGCUUCAUACACAGCAGUAGCACGACAAGAAACAAGUGACUGCUCCAGCCCGCCCCAGUCAAGCGGAGCGACAUGUAUCCGUGUUCGGGAAUGCUGGUAGCCCUGCUCUGCAUUGUUGUGAUGUUCGUUGGAGAGAGGGGGCUGGUGGUGGGCGGAGGCGAAGUAGGGUCUGAAUUUGAACCCCUUAACGACACUCUACAGAAAGAAACACGGCCGUACGAAACGAACUGGGUGAUCACAGAGCAGCCGCGCUGCUGUUCUGACUGCACGUACGUCGCCGCCGGUUUCAAGUGCAAGGUCAAGUCCUGUCUUCAUAAUUGUCCUUGGGCUCGGAGUGCAGGUGCACCCAGAGCACUGCCAAUGUUCUGAGACCCGUCGCAGCACAAGGUCGCACCACGCUCUUCAGUGAAUCAAGCAGAUCUGUCAGGAAUGCAGUCAUCUACUAGUGAGAAUGGGGCGUAUGUGUGCUGGUGGGGUGUAUCUUGGCUGUCCCUGGGCCCCAAGCUUCAAGAGAGCAAUAUUAUAUUUAAGCAUCCUGUUACACUCACACAAUAUAUGAGACAAACUCCGUCUUAAGUGCAACAAUUUAA